AUUGAACGCUGGCGGCAUGCUUUACACAUGCAAGUCGAACGGUAACAGGUUAAGCUGACGAGUGGCGAACGGGUGAGUAAUGCAUCGGAACGUGCCCGGUCGUGGGGGAUAACGCAGCGAAAGCUGCGCUAAUACCGCAUACGAUCUGAGGAUGAAAGCGGGGGACCGUAAGGCCUCGCGCGAUCGGAGCGGCCGAUGUCAGAUUAGGUAGUUGGUGGGGUAAAGGCUCACCAAGCCAACGAUCUGUAGCUGGUCUGGGAGGACGACCAGCCACACUGGGACUGAGACACGGCCCAGACUCCUACGGGAGGCAGCAGGGGGGAAUUUUGGACAAUGGGCGAAAGCCUGAUCCAGCAAUGCCGCGUGCAGGAAGAAGGCCUUCGGGUUGUAAACUGCUUUUGUACGGAGCGAAAAGGUCUCCUCUAAUACAGGGGGCUCAUGACGGUACCGUAAGAAUAAGCACCGGCUAACUACGUGCCAGCCGCCGCCGUAA
rnacentral:rRNA from 1 species